rnacentral:rRNA from 11 species
GACCUCGGAUCAGGUAGGGAUACCCGCUGAACUUAAGCAUAUCAAUAAGCGGAGGAAAAGAAACCAACAGGGAUUGCUCUAGUAACGGCGAGUGAAGCAGCAAUAGCUCAAAUUUGAAAUCUGGCGUCUUCGACGUCCGAGUUGUAAUUUGUAGAGGAUGCUUCUGAGUAACCACCGACCUAAGUUCCUUGGAACAGGACGUCAUAGAGGGUGAGAAUCCCGUAUGCGGUCGGAAAGGUGCUCUAUACGUAGCUCCUUCGACGAGUCGAGUUGUUUGGGAAUGCAGCUCUAAAUGGGAGGUAAAUUUCUUCUAAAGCUAAAUAUUGGCCAGAGACCGAUAGCGCACAAGUAGAGUGAUCGAAAGAUGAAAAGCACUUUGGAAAGAGAGUUAAAAAGCACGUGAAAUUGUUAAAAGGGAAGGGAUUGCAACCAGAC